GGGUAGAGGUGCUGUAAUAAAUAGUAGAUAUAAUGAGUCUGGCAGACUUUGAGUUAUGUUGAAAGGUGUUAUGGCCGAAGAAUCAGUUAAAGCCAAUAUCUGUUUCUGGGUAUUCAUAGAAUAUGUGGAUAACUGUCACGAAAGU
rnacentral:ncRNA from 1 species